UACGUAGGGUGCAAGCGUUGUCCGGAAUUAUUGGGCGUAAAGGGCUCGUAGGCGGUCCAUCACGUCGGGAGUGAAAAGCUGGGGCUUAACCCCAGUCCUGCUUCCGAUACGGGUGGACUAGAGGUAGGCAGGGGAGAACGGAAUUCCUGGUGUAGCGGUGAAAUGCGCAGAUAUCAGGAGGAACACCGGUGGCGAAGGCGGGUUGCUGGGCUGAUACUGACGCUGAGGCGCGAAAGCCAGGGGAGCGAACGGG
rnacentral:rRNA from 1 species